GCCUCGAGGAACCUAGUUGUUAAGGAGAGACAGGAAUACGCCAGUAAUUUAAUUUUUCAUGCAAAACUCUGCUAGGAAGUACCAGACUUUCCAAAAUGUAUUCCAAAGAAAUGCAGAGAUAGAUUCCCGACCGGCAUUAAUCAGUGCUGAUUAAGUCAUGAAGCUACCCAAUUUCUGCCUGGUGUUUGAGGCUUUAGGUUUUGGAAGAUACCAGGGCUAGGACUGCACUAGGAGUGUGUCCCUGUCCCUACAACCUGCCACUGUCAGGAAAAGCAGUUUACUGCAGCAGAGGUGGAGCUGCCUCUACAGUGAUACAAGGAGGUAGGGUUAGCACAAGACAAGUAACAACACGUUGCACUAAUGGUGCAGAGGUUUGAGAGAAUGUGCCCAGGCUCCUGGGAAAUGGACAUUGUCACAUGUGGCUCGUUAGCACAAUGAAGCUGUGACCUAGCAAAUAUUUACAUGCACUUAAGUGCACAUUUGAAAGGGCUAAAUAUACACCUGCUCCCUGCUUCAGCUGCCAGACAUCCCUAGACUCUGCAUUUGGUGCAAAUGUCUGACUCAAAAACAUAUGCUGCAGUUUUGCUGAAGAUGUAGGUGGAUUUUUAUAAUGGUUUGGUGCUGUUAUUGUAAAAGGAAGCUUUUUUUUUUGAGUCUUCUCUCAACAUGUCAUAGAGUAUCCAACCAGCAUCCUGAGCAAUGCUUGACUGGAGAGACUUAGGAGAAUUUUUGGCUUCUCCUCCUUUCCAGCUUCCUCUCUUCUUCUGCAGAGCCAGGUACAUUGGAAAUACUGCUUGUGACCAUCAGGAGAGCAAGAAGUUCCUCUUCCCCUGCCAUGAGCUCCACUGCAGCCUGAGCAUCUCUGCCUGUGGAUCAGUUCCACCACAAGACAGCAGCCCCAAAGAGCCUCACCUGGUCUCCUAAAUGGGAGUCUCUGGGGACAAUCAGCCCUGGAAUCUCAGGAAGAAGUGAUUUUACAGCUCCUGCCUGGCUGCCAUGCCAGCCCUGCCUCUCCUGCCAUGGGAGCACUUUCCACCCUCACUGACAUCACUGCUCUGCUGAGCACCCAGCCACCACCUCCUCUCCUCCCCUCUCUCUCAGCACAUUGCCACCCAAACUCACUGAGGAGCUUCAGCAUUUUUUAUUCUCUGGUGGGAAAUUUCAUUUGAUUCUUUCAAGCGGGACAAGAACAGACAGCAGGUAAAAACUACAUUAAGGUGUUUUAUCUCUCUGUAAGUCUUAUAGAUCUCCUUGAUGCAGGAUGGGACAGCAAGUUAGAACACCAGAUACCUCAGGUUGUAAUUAAAUUCUAAGACCACCAUUGCCCCAGUGAAUAGUGACUACUUUAUGCACUUAUUUAGAAAGAUGAAGAGGUAGACAGAAAAAUAAUAUCAUAGAUGGAUUGGUAGGUGGAUAGAUUUCAGCCAGAAAUUGAGUUAAAUUUGCACUUAUUUUUCUGUGUGAUAAGGUCACACAGCUACUAAAAAAGUAUUUUCUAAAAUUUAAGGUAAAAAUUCAACCCUCUCAAGAAGGAAUUCAGACUUGGCAAAGGAAACUGAAAGGAACCCUAAAUCCCACAUAACAGUCAUCUGACAUCACACAGCAACUGCACAUGGUAGUAAUGACAAUAGGGCAUCUAUUAACUAGAGAAAACCCUGAUGAAAUUUGUGGGCUUACAGCCAGUCAAUCCUGCAAAAACAGCAAGUGUUAGCCCUCAUGCCAUGCACAUGGGAGCAGGAUUGGAAAGGACCAGCAAAUGCUUUGCAGGCUCACCAAGGUGGCCCAGGCACUGGGUCAAGUCUGAGCUAAGAGUUAAAGAGAGCAUGACCAUCCCUGAAUUUCUGCCCUGUGGCAGUGCCCAGCACAGCUGGUGAGUGCCAGAGCCCCACAAGGCAGCUUUAACUGCUGCCAGUUGGACUUUCCUUGGAAACACUGAGAGCCCAGUCCUGCUGGAGCACAGUUUGUGUUGGCUUCCCUCUCCCCAUGGCCCUUGCUCAGGAAAUGGAGCAGGCACCAGGCAGGCUCCACAUGCUUCAUGGCACUGGGUGUCUGCAGAGAAAUGUGGAGCUCCUGGGCAGAGGGAGCUUCCCUGGCUCCUUUUUGAAGCCUUGCAUUCCUGUACAGAGUCAUAAUUACACUGGACCUGCAACAACCAUUAGGAUUAACUACUAAUUUAUUCCUAGCACCUUGUGCCUUUGUGAAAUCUCAGAAACUUAAUUUACAUCCUUACAUAUCCAAGCAACAGAUUCCUACUUAGAAUAAACCAUGGUUUCUAUAUUCUAAGCAACAAGAACAUGUGCAUGACUUGAUUUACAGGUUUUUUCCUAAUCCUAGAUUAUCUUCAAGAUCUUGAGAGCUGUUACAAAAUUCAGAUGAAGAGUGCAGAACUCACCCUCUAGGUGCAAAGCCACGGGUCACCUGCCCCAGGACACUAGAGAUGCCUUUCUCACCUUGCUGGAUUCCACAUGCAGAGCUCCAGGUGCAUCAUUGAGGCUCUAAGUUUGAGGUUCAGAGCACUUCUGUGGACAAGUGGUGCCAUUCAGCAAAGCCUGCAGCAAAACCAUGGAAAUUUGUCAUUGACUUCUGCACAACUCAGCAUUUUCUUUGCACUAAUGAAUGAAGUAAAUGUUCAGCUGAUUACUUCAUGCAGCUUCUACUCCCAAUAUUAAACCAUUGCUUCAUUCUCUAUUCCUGUGCCCUUACCAAAUAGUAGUAGAUUAUUUUAUGGGAUAACCUCAUUUUCCUUCCUUUCUUCCGGUGCCUUUCUAAGGCAGACCUGGAGCUGGCAGAUAAAAAAAAAAGGCACAACCAACGAGCUAGACCUCAUUAGAGCAUAAAGGGAUUUUAGGCUCCUUCCUCAUCCCAAGUGGAUUUGGCAGUUUCCUUUUAUUCUUUAACAUUGUAUUAUUUACACAGCUGCUCCACUAACUUUUUCUUGUUAUGUGCUUAUUUAUUUCUUCCUAUUUUUUAAAAUUUUAAAUUUUUCCCUUCAGAUUUUAGAACAGCAUCAAUUUAUUUUUACCACUUAAAAAAAUAAUUUGCUUGUAAUUAAACCUGCAAAUCUAAUACUGCCUAAAUGUAAGAGUGACCUGUUUACGAGGGGGACAGAGGGGCAGGUUUUGAAAGCUGAACCACAUCAUUUCACGAUCCAUAAUCAGUUUUUAGGGGUUUUCUAUUAUUAUUUCAAGGACCAGGUGUCUGAAAAGGUAUCAUUUUUCUCACCAGCUUUUGCUAGAUGUUUUAAAAAAGGUAUUAAUGCAGCUGUACAGGUUAUAGCUGAGCGUGUGACUGCCCGCUGGAUUUACACGCACAAUUACCCCAAAAGCACACAACCCUCCAGACUCACACAUGCAAAAAGCCUCUUGGCUGGAAAACUCUUGGCAUGGAUGCUCCAUUUCCAUAUGCAGUCACACUGAAUAUGCAUAUACAUUAGGUUCAGGAGCACACAUACAUUUUUCAAACAGGAGGCCUUGGUGUGAACCUAAAGAAGAAAAGACAAAUGCUGCAAAAAAGGGGUUUAGGUCAAAAUCAGUGAGCAAGGAUGAAUCUGCUGGGUUGUACUCAUGUGCCAAGGACCAAUGUACAUCAUUUUCUGCAAUUAAAUAUUCAAAAAGAUGUAUAGUUUUAGGAUUUUUUUCUUUAUGCCUUUAAAUCCUUUGAAAAUUUAUAAUCUUUAAUUUUCACUUUUAAAUUCUAAUAGAUGAAAACCAGCCCAAUGUAAAUUUUGUCCAAAAGAGACAACUCAACAGCAAAAAAAAGUGUUUCUGAGUAUUAACAUGUUUGAAAAUCAGGCAACCAAAGACUAUAAAGAUAGACUUAGGUGUCUGAAUUUAGACACCUAUUUUUUAAAACCUUGGCUUUGAAAAUAAAGUAUCUGAAUGUAUAUAGAAAAUAUAAAUCACCAGCCACUUUUAUUACAUGUAUGUUUAUAUAAAGACCUUAGAACACAUUUUUAAAAUGUAAACGUUCCUUAGUAUGUUUAACUAUGUGUCUAAAGAAGAUGUAGGACAGAAAGAAAACAAAAUUUGACAAAUGUUUCUGAUCAAUCCUGAAGAAAUCAAUAGGAAUUCACUCACAGCAUGAUUUCAUUUAACUUUCCAUGCUAGGAAUAGUAACCUGGCUUUCUGUUAAAGUAAAAGCAUUCAUACUUCUUAGCGAUUUAAUUCUCAUGUCAACAUGUAUCAGGCAGGCAGAGAAUGGUUUGGAGACUGGGAGGGGAAAGAGGAAUGGAUGGAAACACACGGAAAUUAUGUGGACUGAGCUGUAUGGUUGGGUGACUUCAUUUCACCAAAACCAGUUUUUAAUAGAAAACGGGGUUUUCAUUGAGAUGCAUAUUUCCCUUUCCCUUUGAGGCAGCAGAAAGUGUCUGUUUCUCAAACCAUCUUUUAAUGUUUAUUUGAAAAAUAUCUAACACCCAAGAAUAGGAACAUCUUGGUGGGGGAAAGAGAGAAAAGCCAUUGAAUCCCGAGCACUGCAUCAGCUCCUUGGUGGGAGCCAGAGCUUGGCUGUCUGGGGUGCUUCCCAUCCCUGCAGCCACACACCCCACAGCACCCAGGAGUUUGGUGUCUCCAUCAUGCACACUCUCAGUGUGCCACUGUGACACAACAAGGAGAGGGGACAAGCCCAGACAACAAGACAAUGAAGAAGAGUUUGCAACCACAGCUCUUGUGAAUGAACUUGGGGGUUUUUUUGGCCAAAAGGACUUGAGUGAAGACAGCCGCUGCUUUCCACCUUCCCAAGCAAGGCAAAACUGUUGGCACUCCAAGCUCCUAUAUUGAACUUGCUUCUACUCCCUUAGCAGACCAGAACCUUGCAUGGUGUAUGGAAACCAAUGGAGCAUUCAAACCCAGAGAACAUCUGGUUUACAAUAUUUUCUUCUUGCUUUUUCAUGGUUGUGCUCCUGGAAGCAUAUUUGGGUCCACAAGUGUGGGUGUGCAUGUACGUCUGUUCUUAUUUAUUCUAAAUAAAAACUGUUUUCUGAAAGGGCAUUAUUCAUAGAGAGAUGAAAGAGCACUGUCCUUCUUAGAAGUCUGGUUCAAAACCUGAAGCUGACACUGGGUGCCAUAUUGGACUGAAGCAAAGUAUGGAAAUAGUGUUCUCCAAAUUCUGAGAGGAUCCUGGUUGAAAAGUUAUGGGCAAUGAAAAAGAUCCCAGCUCUGCUGCCUCACUGAAUCCCCAGUUAUAUAUAAAGCAGAUGUCAUCUUUGCAAUAUGCAAUACGUAGGCUAAGAAACUUUAUCAGCCACUGACAUCUGAGGGUGACAUUGCUUUGAAAUGCACCUUUCUAUCUGUGUACACACAAAAUUAUGUGUGCUCACACACACAUAGUCUAUGUGGCUUAAACACUAUGAUUUAUUAUGAUUUUUUCCAUCAGGAGCCAGAUUUGACUGACCAUAGAAUUAAUACAAAAAAAGAUAAAAAAUUGUUUUACUUUCAGGCUGAACUGCUGCAUGAAUCUGCAAACGGAAACACCACAAAAUCCAGUUUCAGUCCAACAAGCUGAAGAGGUUCUAUUAUUAUGAUCUUUAUUUUCAUUAUUUUUGUGGGCAAGGUAUGAAGCAAAAUAACUGUGUCUCUUUAGCUGCCUGAACAAUAGAAAAGUUUAUGCAGCUCUUGAGCUGAAAUGUUUUUGACAGUUUUCAAUUUUAGUUCUUUUGCUUUGGCAAGAAAUCUGGAAAAAUAUGAUUUUGAAAAUCACCAGUUUCAUGCUUUAUUCCUUUCUCAUAAUUAGACUAUAUUGUCCAACUCCUCUUCACUUACUGUGUCUGAGGGAAUCCUAGAAAAUAGCUGGGAAGAAUCAGUGCUGGGCUGUUGCUUAGAAACUGCCUGGGUUUCUAUAAUAUUGACUGAUGUAAUAGUUAUAUUGCCCACUUGCAUCUGUUAACAAGCAAUACAACAGAAUCCACAGGUACCAAUAAAGAAACAAACCUGGAAUUCAUUACUUCCCUUGAAAAUUCAUCAGUACUUUUUUCUAGCUUGGAAACAUGUUUUUCUUAGGUGCUAAUUAAUAAAAUAGGAGAAGUAUUGCCUCUACAUAUAUCUAUUUUAUUUGGAUUUAUAUAUUUUGCCCCAGGGAAAAGAUGUUGUUAAGAAUGUAACGUGUUAUUAUAAUGACAAUUUUGCAAUGCCAUAGAAUGGUAUGAGGUAUGAGCUGUGGUUCUGUGGGAUUUUCUUCACUGAGAGCUAUAGUGUGGCAAUAUGACCAUUUUCUUAAUGUGUUUUAAGGAGAAGUAAUAUGGGUGCCUUUGUAAAAUCAGUGGGACAGGACAUUUCUGGUGAGUGCCAUUAGUAAACUCUGAGCAAAGCCCAAGCAACAGAUGAACUGUCUUACCUUAGUUAUGUCAGCAUUCCCAAAUCCAGGGUUGUAAAAAGAGCAGAUGAAACAAUGAGAACAACAAGAUGGACUCCACAGCCACUCACGUGAAAAUGAUGUACUUCUAUAAAAAAAAAAAAAAAUUAACUUUUAAGGUACAAUAAUGAAAGCUUCUCUAUUAAGAAUAAGGACUACAAUUUCUCCAAAGAAAGUCAAGAUGCAAACUCACAUAAUUGCUGAUUCUGGGGUACGAGGAAAACACCUGAGAGUUAAAUUAACUGACAACACUUGCAGCCCAAGUCAUAGCAGCUCACUCUUCACCUGAAUGUGACCCAAAGCCCAGCACAGCCACUGGAUACACACCUGUUCAGUGCUGUGGACAGCCCUAUGGCCAAAUAAGAGAGACGUUUCACUUGUGUGCACUGUCCUUAGAGAACAUGCUCACUCCUCACUUGGGAGCUCCACACUGCCGUGGAUACAGCUCCUUUUGCAGGCUCUUGAUUGAAGUGCUUUUGCAAGCCCACCCCCAGCAACUGGCUUCCUGCAUUUUGAGGAGACAUAAUAAAAUGAUUGCAGCCCAACCCUCAGUUAUUAAGUGUGGGGGAAAGCACAGGAAGAGUUGUAGGGAAGAGGAGACUCCGUGACAGUUACUUUUUGUAAGUAAAUAUUACUCAAGGGAGCGCGGCUACUGCUUAGAUGGAUUACAUUUGGCUCUAUCUGGGGGCCUAGAUUUGUGAGGGAAAACAGUUUAAACUCCUGGUUUGCCAUUCCACUUGUUCUCAGCAGGCAGAGGAAUUGUGUUGGAGCACAGCAAAAGCUGAGGUUGUUCAGUGACAACAAACGCGGGGGCGGAUGCUCAUCGCCAGGCGUGGGGAUUUGGGAAUGCAACUCACAUUAGUGUUAAUGGGAGUUACACGCGUAAAUCCCUGCCCUUCAACAUGAUAAUACAUAAUAUACCCCUUAAUUUUUAAUUCACCAGGGUCUCAAUUUUAAAGCAUUUUCAUAUAGUUUGUCCUAAUUAUAAUCAUUUUUAAUGACAGCUUAAAAAUUUCACAUGACUGUCUUAUCACAUACGGUACUUAAUUUCUCAAGUGAACAGUUUCCAUGUGGUGUAUUCUGGGAAUUUUGAGAACUAAAACACUAAGGAAAAAACUACUUUGUAUAAUCAAAUGAGAUGUUAUUAUUCCACUAUGUUUUAUAUAAACUGGAACGGAGUUUCUCACAGUAAUGGUGACCAUUUUGAAAAGUACUUAAAACUGAGACAAUUUUUUGUUUUGGAAUGUUAUUGGCUUAACCUCAAUCUCAUGGACCAGGGCUUUUGGUCUACCUCUCAUGGCCAGUAUUAGUGUAAAUCAGUAGAUAAUUAUUAGUAGGUUAUUAUUAGUUAGUACAGGCUUUGGGGAGAUUUCAGCCUAUAAGUAAUUUUUCAUUUUCUCUAGGACUUGAUAAACUCUGAAUAUACUGAUACACUAUUUUUAUAUUAAUAUCACUAUUUUUAUCACUAUCUUUAUAUUAAUAUAUUAUAUGUAUAUUUGCAUUAUAUGUUAUCUCAUUCUACAAUAAUAUACCUAUAUAUUAUUAUACUAUUAUACAGUAUAUAAUGACUGUAUUACUAAUACAUUAAUCUAUUAAUUAUUAUAUUGACAUGCAGCAGGCAAGCACUCACACAUUGAAUCAAAAGGACAAACAGCCAAGUUUAGAGUACAGCCACACACCUAAAUCAGACGUUGGCCUUGCCUUCAGCAUCUCAACAGGCAGGAAAACCAAUAAUUACUGGAGUAACUGGUUCUGCAUCACAUACAUAACAGAGGACAAUGUGCCGUGAGCCCAGCAUCCAGAAACGUGCCAAGGACCUGCCUCACCAUUCCAUGUGCCCCACAAAGCAUCCCUGUACCAGCCUAUUGGAACCAACCACAACAGCCACGGACACAGAAUUUCACCAGCAACUGCUGCAUGUCCCGUUUGAAGCACUUCCUGCUCUCCAUCCAGGCCUUUUGAGUUCUCUUAUUUCAGUUUCUUCAACUAAUGGCUUUCUAGUUUGCCUUCAUGUUGAGUAAACCAAGUUCUGUUUUAUUUUUAGCUCUUCACUUUCAGAGGGAGCAAUAUAUUUUUUACUACUUACAGGUAUAGAAAGGGCCACUGCCAGAAAACACAUGAUGAAAUAGCAGGCAAAGAUUUCAAAACCCACCUAAGUGACUUAAAAACAUACGUGCUAUUUUCAAGUGAUGGAGGGCUUUGACACCAAGUACCAUGUUUAGCAAUAGAUUUUUAAAAAUAAUUACCUACCUAUGGAGAGCACAUAUGACUUUAAAAAAAAUUCUCAACAAUUAGCAUUAGUAAUUAAUAAUAUUUUAAAUGUUUGAUUUCAGCUGUGCUCAAGAAGUCAUUUGUUUAGUCAGGGGAGAAAACACUCCUGUAUGCCCUGAGGUUACUAGAUUUCUUUGGACAUCUUCAUUCUGAACAAUUUAGGAGUGCAAAUAGGACUUGGGCUUUUGUCAUGAG